rnacentral:rRNA from 1 species
UACGUAGGGCGCAAGCGUUGUCCGGAAUUAUUGGGCGUAAAGAGCGUGUAGGCGGCUAGAUAGGUCCGUUGUGAAAACUCGAGGCUCAACCUCGAGACGUCGAUGGAAACCAUCUGGCUAGAGUCCGGAAGAGGAGAGUGGAAUUCCUGGUGUAGCGGUGAAAUGCGCAGAUAUCAGGAAGAACACCGGUGGCGAAGGCGGCUUGCUGGGCCAGUUCUGACGCUGAGGAGCGAAAGCUAGGGGAGCAAACGGG